rnacentral:rRNA from 1 species
GAUGAACGCUGACCGAAUGCUUAACACAGCCAAGUCUUUGGCGAAGCUUUUCUUUCACAGCCUAUCCAAGGCGGACGUGUGAGUAACGCGUAAGGAACUUGCCCUGCAGUCAGGGAUAACAGACUGAAACGACUGAUAAGACCUGGUAAAGUCAGUCGGGCUCAUGUCCAGCCUGAUGAAAAGAGAUUCUGCAGGAGAGCCUUGCGUCCUAUUAGCGUGUUGGUGGGGUAACGGCCCACCAAGGCGAUGAUAGGUAUCCGGCCUGAGAGGGUGGACGGCCAAAAGGGGACUGAGAUACGGCGCUUACUCCUACGGGAGGCAGCAGUGGGGAAUAUUGGACAACGGGGGCACCCCGGCUCCAGCAAUUCUGUGUGCACGAUGAAGGUUUUCGGAUUGUAACGUGCUUUCAGCAGGGAAGAAAAAAAUGACGGCACCCGCAGAAGAAGCGGCGGAUCAAUACGUG